CCUGAGCCUCUGCAGCUCAGGAGAAGCUAGAGGGUUACUGGACCCAGAGGCAACCUCCUCUUCCCCUGACUGGGCUGAGACUGGAGCACCUACAGGCAAUGGGUCCUCCAUCCCCUCCAGAGCCAGAGCAGAUUCAGCUGGUGUCUGCUCCUGAGGAUCCAGCACAGGUGAGGACCCUUCAGGCUCAAGCCCCAGACCCGGCUCAGCUGGUCCUGGAGGCGGGGACUCCUGUGCAGCCUGGGAUUCCUCAGGUUCAGCCUCUGAAUCCAAUUCCCAGGCCAUCACAUAUCUUAUUGCAUAGGUAAGCUGUUGUUAUAGAGUUGGGGGGCGGGCGGGGAUUUGUUGGUCCUAGACAAUCUCAAUUAAGGACUUAAAACUGUGUCGCAUGACUGUGCAGAGAAAGAAAUAGGCAGGUCUUCGGUUGAAUGGUUUGCAGCCCAAUCAACAGGACACACUGGGAAGAAAAGACGGUGGGGGAAAGUGGAAAAUAUGCACAUUCAAAGGUCGGGCAAGAUCACUUUACAAAUGACCGGGUGGAAUGGCUGCAUAUGGAAGCUUUUUGGUUCUAGAGGGGCCCAGUGACGAUUGGACCCAGCCUGACUGAUGGAGAAACUGAGCUGUCUCUCCCCUCUAGACACCUGCCAGGUGGAACAGCCACCAAUUUUUAUAGCCUUUGGAGAAGCCAGCAGACUAAUUCUGAGGUAACUGUCUGGUUUCAUCCCCUGCAGAAAAGUGGUCGACUGAGCCAUUAUGACAUAACCACAUUCUAUGGAUAUGUAGCUUUGAACGGGCCUCAUUGCAUCCACUGCAAUGGAUUCUGUACAAUCACAUCCCCCAGAUAACAUCACCGGACUUCAAAUUCUAGGGUGCUUUCCCCCUCUGUGCCCAGAUCCUGUGGAACAGCACCAGUAGCCAGAUAAGCAUAACUAUCAUGCUUAGCAUUAUAGUACUUAUGCAGCGCUUCAGAGUCCGCCUCCCCAGCCAUACCCCUACCAAACCUGCUUUAGGUAAAGGGUACCCUGACCAUUAGGUCCAGUCAUAACCGACUCUGGGGUUGCGGCGCUCAUCUCGCUUUAUUGGCCGAGGGAGAAGGCGUACAGCUUCCGGGUCAUGCGGCCAGCAUGACUAAGCCGCUUCUGGUGAACCAGAGCAGCGCACAGAAACGCUGUUUACCUUCCCGCUGGAGCGGUACCUAUUUAUCUACUUGCACUUUGAGGUGCUUUCGAACUGCUAGGUGGGCAGGAGCAGGGACCGAGCAACGGGAGCUCACCCCGUCGCGGGGAUUCGAACCGCCGACCUUCUGAUCGGCAAGUCCUAGGCUUUGUGGUUUAACCCACAGCGCCACCCUCAUCCCUUAAAACCUGCUUUAUACCCUCCUUAAUUUCCUGGCUGGAGUGGCUGCUGGACUCUGAUGAUGCCUCAGUUUGCCUGGAUGGAAGAUAUGAGUGUGUGCAGAACUGAGGGUUGCUACUCAUCCCUUAAAAUAUGGCAUUGUCCCUUUUUAGGGCACAGAGUUCCCUGCUCGUUUGGCCUACUUUUGAAAUCAUCCUACUCCACAAAAAUAAUAAAAUCAGUACAGUGGUACCUCUGGUGGCGAACGGGAUCCGUUCUGGAGGCCCGUUCGCAACAUGAAAAGAACGGAACCCGCUGCACACGCGCGGGUUGCAAUUAGCCGCUUCUGCACAUGCGUGUGACAUCAUUUUGAGCUUCUGCGCAUGCACGAGCGGCGAAACCCAGAAGUAACCCUUUCUGGUACUUCUGGGUCGCCGUGGGACGUAACCUGAAAGAACGUAACAUGAAGUGGGUAACAUGAAGCGGACGUAACAUGAGGUAUGACUGCACUGGCGCAAGCACAACUGGGCAAACCUAGCUAAAUUGUGGGAGCGCUGCAACAUACACUCCAAGCGCCCCGAUUUUCCAGGGACAGUCCGGAAUUGCAAAAGCCGUCCUGGCUUCUGAUUUGUUUGGGGGUUUUUUAAUAUGUUUAUUUUAUUUUGCAACACAAAAACACAUAACACUAAUAAAAGGAAAGGGGGGGAGAGAAAACUUCAAAAGAAGAUACAAAAACCAAUACGGAACAAUUAUUGGACAAUGAACAUGUAACCAUAUUUCAGUUCUUCUUUUCUUCUAAUUGACUUUGUCCUCAGCACAGUUCUACUUUCAUAUUUAGUAAACCGUUUCCUUCUCACUUCUCCUCCCCCUUUCUUUCUACAGUGGUACGUCGGGUUACAGAUGCAUCAGAUUACAUACGCUUCAGGUUGCAGACUCCGCUAACCCAGAAAUAGUACCUGGGGUUAAGAACUUUGCUUCAGGAUGAGAACAGAAAUCAUGCCCCGGUGGCGCAGCGGCAGCCAGUGUGGUGUAGUGGUUAAGAGCGGUAGUCUCGUAAUCUGGGGAACCAGGUUCGCGUCUCUGCUCCUCCACAUGCAGCUGCUGGGUGACCUUGGGCCAGUCACACUUCUCUGAAGUCUCUCAGCCCCACUCACCUCACAGAGUGUUUGUUGUGGGGGAGAAAGGGAAAGGAGAAUGUUAGCCGCUUUGAGACUCCUUAGGGUAGUGAUAAAGCAGGAUAUCAAAUCCAAACUCCUCUUCUUCUUCUUCAGCAGGAGACCCCAUUAGCUAAAGUGGUACCUCAGGUUAAGAACAGUUUCAGGUUAAGAACGGACCUCCAGAACGAAUUAAGUUCUUAACCUGAGCUACCACUGUAUUUUAAUCUUUUACACCAUAAUUUGUUUUGCAAAAGUCCCGGCUUCUGAUUUGAUCCUGGAAUGUCCCCAUUUCCCCCACCAGUGCCACAUUCAGGGAGGAGGAUGAGUCGGUGCUUGUCCUGAGUGAUGAAAAUGGUGGCAGCUGCAAAAGAGCACCCCGUUGACUCUCCAUGGCCGCCACUACCAACUUCCUCCCUUGGGCAGAUCAAAGAGACUGUGGGCGAGGAGGACGAGAGGCCCAGACCUGAAUGAUACACUGGCUCUGAGGGGCAAGCAGAGGGCAGGGCCGCCCUGGGUGGAAAAAAGAGGGAGCAGAGUGGAAUGCAAGCGUUCUUGAUUUCUUAAAAAAAUGCUUUGUGCAUCUGCGUCUAAUCUUGAUCCUUUCUAAAAUUCAUUUAUUGGUGUGUGUUCUUUUUGCCAAUCUACCAAAGAAUUCUCCUGCCAACCUAGCAGUUCGAAAGCACAUCAAAGUGCAAGUAGAUAAAUAGGUACCACUCCAGCGGGAAGGUAAACGGCGUUUCUGUGGGCUGCUCUGGUUUGCCAGAAGCGGCUUAGUCAUGCUGUCCACAUGACCCAGAAGCUGUACGCCGGCUCCCUCGGCCAAUAAAGAGUGAUGAGCGUCGCAACCCCAGAGUCGGCCACAACUAGACCUAAUGGUCAGGGGUCCCUUUACCUUUACCUUACCAAAGAAUUAAAUAAAAUAAAAUUGGAGAUUAAGCGGAUUUCUCAGGACAGUGGAGGGCGUGUGUGCUUUGUCCCAUUGGUGAAAUAGCGGUGGCACCCGCCCUUCUUCUGCUAGCAAAUGCUCUGCGGGUGGAGGGGACACCAAAAAUUGGGGGUUGAGGAGGGUCAGUUGGGGGAGGAUUGAGAAAUGUCCCUUUUUGUCAUCUGAGGAAAGUUGGAGUGUAUGCUGCAAUGUCUUGAGGAUUGCAGUCCUUAAAGCCAGAAGGACCUUCAUAGGUUCAGUAGCCAUUGCCCAAAAGCAAACAAAGGCAGAGCGAACAGAUCACUUUUGUACUUUGCUAUUCCUGAGGCCUCUGGCCUAGUUCCACCACUGUUUGGUUAAGGCUCUCCCUUUUCUGUAUACUUUUGCUGAACAGUUUAGGCUAAUGAGUUCAUGUAGGAUGAGCCGUUGUUUUGUCUGACUGCCAAUUAUUCAUUAUAAUCUAAAGAGCUGUCGGUUAACCAAAGCAGCUGCGGCGACUUGCCGGAGUGUAGAAGGAGCCUUUCAGUGACUCACACAUCUGCUCUGAUGCGGAUGCCUUGAUGCCGAGCCAAAAUCUGCUUCCAAUAAAUAUUGUAUAAAUAUCGGUGCUUUACGAAGCUCUGCAUCUGGCCAAGGCUGGCCAGCUCAGAAUGAGCCUUCGCCCGUCACACGCUAGACAAUGUAAAAAAACUCGUGCCCUCAUAGCUCAGACUUGCAUAACGUUUCAAGU